UCGAGAAUUUUUCACAAUGGGGGAAACCCUGAUGGAGCGACGCCGCGUGGAGGAUGAAGGUUUUCGGAUUGUAAACUCCUGUCAUUAGAGAACAAGGCACACGGUUUAACUGGCCGUGUGUUGAUAGUAUCUGAAGAGGAAGAGACGGCUAACUCUGUGCCAGCAGCCGCGGUAAUACAGAGGUCUCAAGCGUUGUUCGGAUUCAUUGGGCGUAAAGGGUGCGUAGGUGGCGAUGUAAGUCGGAUGUGAAAUCUCCAAGCUCAACUUGGAAACUGCAUUCGAUACUGCGUCGCUUGAGGAUUGUAGAGGGCAUUGGAAUUCACGGUGUAGCAGUGAAAUGCGUAGAUAUCGUGAGGAAGACCAGUGGCGAAGGCGAAUGCCUGGGCAAUUCCUGACACUGAGGCACGAAGGCCAGGGGAGCGAACG
rnacentral:rRNA from 1 species